rnacentral:rRNA from 1 species
CCUACGGGAGGCAGCAGUGAGGAAUAUUGGUCAAUGGACGAGAGUCUGAACCAGCCAAGUAGCGUGAAGGAUGACUGCCCUAUGGGUUGUAAACUUCUUUUAUAUGGGAAUAAAAUGUUCCACGUGUGGGAUUUUGUAUGUACCAUAUGAAUAAGGAUCGGCUAACUCCGUGCCAGCAGCCGCGGUAAUACGGAGGAUCCGAGCGUUAUCCGGAUUUAUUGGGUUUAAAGGGAGCGUAGGUGGAUUGUUAAGUCAGUUGUGAAAGUUUGCGGCUGAACCGUAAAAUUGCAGUUGAAACUGGCAGUCUUGAGUACACUAGAGGUGGGCGGAAUUCGUGGUGUAGCGGUGAAAUGCUUAGAUAUCACGAAGAACUCCGAUUGCGAAGGCAGUUCACUGGACUGCAACUGACACUGAGGCUCGAAAGUGUGGGUAUCAAACAGGAUUAGAUACCCGUGUAGUC